rnacentral:rRNA from 1 species
UACGUAGGGUGCGAGCGUUGUUCGGAAUUACUGGGCGUAAAGCGUGCGCAGGCGGUUUGUUAAGACAGAUGUGAAAUCCCCGGGCUUAACCUGGGAACUGCAUUUGUGACUGGCAAGCUAGAGUAUGGCAGAGGGGGGUAGAAUUCCACGUGUAGCAGUGAAAUGCGUAGAGAUGUGGAGGAAUACCGAUGGCGAAGGCAGCCCCCUGGGCCAAUACUGACGCUCAUGCACGAAAGCGUGGGGAGCAAACAGG